UAGGGAAUAUUAGAAAUGGACGCAAGUCUGAUCUAGCAACCCCGCGUGUGCGAAGAAGGCCUUCGGGUCGUAAAGCACUUUUUGGAAGGAAUAGGAAGGAAUGUACUUCCAGAAUAAGUCUCGGCUAACUACGUGCCAGCAGCCGCGGUAACACGUAGGAGGCAAACGUUAUCCGGAUUUACUGGGCGUAAAGCGCGUGUAGGUGGUACUGUAAGUAGGGCGUGAAAGCUCCUGGCUCAACUGGGAGAGGCCGUUCGAAACU
rnacentral:rRNA from 1 species